rnacentral:lncRNA from 1 species
CUGGAGAGAGCAAGGGAUCACUAACACCUGAGACGGACUACAGACCAGCACGUGCCAGAGGUGGAAGUCCAAGUUAAACGCAAAAGGACCACCUCCUGAGAACCAAGAAUGUCAGUUAUACCCGAGGCUUCUCAGCAGCAGCAAGCACCUGUGGUGAAUUUCCAGGCUGAACUGAGACAAGCAUUCUUAACUGAGACAUCAAGAAGUGGUUAA